GUGCUCGCUUCGGCAGCACAUAUACUAAAAUUGGAACGAUACAGAGAAGAUUAGCAUGGCCCCUGCGCAAAUAUGACAAGGCGCAAGGAGGAAGAAAAAAAAAGUAAAU